ACCAAGUCGAAACUAAUCCUGCUGCCGAGCUGGAUUGGUUUCGACUAGUUUCAACUUGCUCCAUUGAACAACGACCUGACUUGUUUCGACCAAAACAUUGGCUCGUUGAACAUCUAUCAGUUGACAGAAACCAGUUGAAACCGAUUUUUACUAUAACGAUUGAACGAAGCUGAAUUUCUAGACAGACCGAAACAGAUCACGGGAAAAUUUAGACGCGUUCCGUAACGGGCUAGAAAAAAGCUUAUCUGGAUUCCGAAAAUUGGAAUAAAUCCACUUCCGAUACGACGUCGUCCCACAAGGAACCGUAUUACGAAAUGACGCUGGAAACGGAUCGCGGCAAGCGGUUCGAAUUUCGCUCACUUUGCAAACCGGAAAGAAGAACGAAUCGAGCAGUAGCAGUCCUCCGGCCAAAGCCAGCGGAACCAAGAGCGAACGGGAGAAGGCACCGUCGAUUAGCGAAGAUCCGGGAGACCACCGUCACAGGAAAACGGAACAGGAAGAGGAUGAGGAGCUGCUGGCUGAGGCGGCCACCAAGGCCAAAACGGUGUUCCGUUUCGAAGCGUCGCCACCGUACUUCAUGUUCGGCGAGAUGCGAGACUACCAGAUCCGUGGUUUAAAUUGGAUGAUUUCGCUGUACGAAAACGGAAUCAAUGGUAUUUUGGCCAAUGAGAUGGGUUUGGGAAAGACGUUACAGACGUUUUCUCUGCUUGGUUAUUUGAAGAAUUUUUGGAAUAGCCCGGGACCCCAUAUCGUUAUUGUUCCGAAAUCGACGCAGCAGAAUUGCUGGGGUUCCCGUCCGUUCACUGAUAAGGCUAGAACAGGCAAUCAAUGCCAUGGACGUAAGCCCGGAUCAUAUGAAAAUUGAACAUGCUUCAUCAGGAAGACGUCAGAAACAAAAAGAAAAAAUAAAAGCUGGACCCGUAGAUGCUUCGACCCAAAGUGUGCUUCCUACCCUUCUCGCCACUGCUGCUCAACUGAAUGCAAUCGACCUGCUGGAGUCGAUCGAUUAAUAUUUAUCAGGCUCCCGGUUGGCGUUCUUGACGUAGGUGUGGCCAUCGGGGAACGCUUCGACUCGUCCAGGACGUAGCCAACUUCAUCCUUUCUCCGCGCAUCUGAUACAAGCUGAACAUCACCAUUAGGGAGGCGAAGAGCCGAACGAUCACGGCCUUUCCAAUGAUAGGAUGUUCGCCUGCGCAACAGUUCAUUCCUCCAUGUUGGCGUUCAUAAUUAGAACGCAGCUGCCGUACGGAUGCUUACUGUCGUGCCCGUCCGUCGGCGUAAUGUGCUUGGUCUGGCUCAGAUCCAGGCCGUCCCUGAA